CACCCCCUGCCGUGUCUUCUGCCCAUUGGUCUCGACUGUCUCGCUUCUAGAAUGGCAGCUCCGUGGAAACGGGGCCGUCUGUUCUGUUCCCUGCUGUGUCCCUGUGCCUAGAAGAGAGCCUGCCCCGUAUCACUCGCUUUCUCCAAGACCAUCAAGUUCCAAAACAAGUGCUCGCUUUGAGCAGGAGUCCAGAGCAUCAGACUCUUCUUCAGACUUCCUGUGACCUUGAGCUGAGACCCUGCCUCCUCUGGGCCUCAGUUUCCCCACCUAUACAGCAGCGUUGCAGCAUACAUGCACAAGUUCCCCGAUGCCCGUGAUGUGACAGCACCCCAAGGGUCACGUGACUGGCGCCCACAGACCCGGGAGGACAGGCUCCCUGGGCUGUCAGGGGAAGUGGCCACGGGCGGGGACAGAGAGGAAGCUGGGGGUGAGGCUGGCGGGGCCGGUUGCUGUUUGGAUCCAGGCAACGCCCUCUCGGCCCCAGCCCUCAGCCGGCGUGUUCCUUUACUAGGGUGCAGUAGCAGUGCCACAAACUGGAAGGCUUUAGACAAAAGGAGUUUUCUCUCUCAGUUCUGGAGGACACCAGAGACCGGAUUAGAGGCCCCCGCCCCAGCAGCCCAACCUCAUCUCGACUUGAUUUACCAAGACCGUAUUUCCAGCAAGGUCAGAUUCGCAGGUUCUCAGGUGCACUAGCCGCAAUUCGAGUAUUCCGUAGGCACACGUGGGCAUCAUAGUGGCGCAGACAUAGAACCCUUCCCUGGUGGCCGAAAGGUCUGUUGGAUAGCGUGAGAAUAGAGCCUCAUUCAAGCAAAGUCUUUCUGGGGGAAGCCAUGCAAAUCUCCGAGGAUAGAACGACAACAAUAAAAACACUGGCUGUCAUUAUUACCGAGCUCCCUGGAGCCCAGACUAUGAGUCAAGUGCUUUCCCCGAUUCAUCUUGUUUGAUCCUGUGUCCUCCUCACUGUCCCCGUAUCUGUCCCCUCUCGCAGCCCCGGCACCUUGAUGUGUCUUCCCGACCUUCCCAAUCCAUCCUGUGUCUUGGGUCAGGGUCUUGGGAUCUACCCUGGGCCUGUGGUCCCGUCUGUGGCCAGGUCCCCCCCUAGGCCAGCAGCCCAUUCCCAACACACGGCGAGCCCUGCGGGCAUCCGUCUGUGCCGUCUGGGGAGUCGGGCAUGGAAGGCGAAGGGGCUUCAACAAACGGAGGGAAACCGAGCUCCCCACGCACCGGCCCUUCCCAGGCCAAGGAGGGUCCUGCCCCCUGCCAAACCCCGGGAA